rnacentral:sRNA from 1 species
AUUGAAACAUGUACUUUCAGAUUCAUCCUUAAAAAUAUGUUUCCAAUUGAACAGGUCAUUAAACCGAGAUUAACCACAAAAUCCGCGUUUAUUGUACCGCUAUUGUGAUUUACCCGACUAAUCCCACACCCGUUAAGAAAACGACGUCGUUUUGUCUUUGUUAUGUAAUGUGAAUCUAUCUAUAUAUGUUAUGUGUUGUGUUAAUUGGUAAGGAAAAUGACAAAUCGAAAUAGAUAAAACUCCUAAUCAUAAGGAUAGAUAAGACUCCAAAUCAAUCAGUCAACCUAAACAAUAACAUCCUAAAGAGAAUCAACUUCCGAAAAUACAUCAUCCAAAAUAGACAAAAGAGGUUGAAGAUUGUUCCAAUGACAAUCUAAAUCAAUAAAGAACUAGAACUACUCUCAUUGAUCACAUAGACUGCUUCUCUGUGUGAGUGUGACUGUAUCGGCUCCAUGUGGUGUUUCUUGAAGCUCCAUUGUAGGCUUACAAAACAACGCUGUUUUCUUAACGGUGUGGGUGAUUAGUUGGGUAAAUCACAAUCGCGGUACAGUAAACGCGGAUUUGUGGUUAAUCUUGGUUUAAUGACUGGUUCAACUGGAAACAUAUUUUUAAGGAUGAAUCUGAAAGUACAUGUUGCAAUUUUAAGAAUUAUCGAAGUUUAUGGUGGAAAUUUCAGGAGCAAAAAGUGUGUGGAGAAAACCUGAGAAUGCAAUUAGUUUAUGGCUAUAAAAUCAGCUAACCCUUUUCUUAACGGAUAUAGGUGAUUAAUCGAGUAAAUCGCAAUCGCGGUACAGUAAACGCGGAUUUGUGGUUAAUCCCGGUUUAAUGACCGGUUCAAUUGGAAAUGUAUUUUUAAGGAUGAAUCCGAAAGUACAUGUUGUAAUUUAAAGAAUUAUCAAAGUUUAUGGUGAAAAUUUCAGGAGCAAAAAGUAUAGGGGGAAAAGCUGAGAAUGCAAUUAGUUUAUGGCUAUAAAAUCAGAGUAGAGAGAAUUCACGUACACAACACAAAAAUUCAUUCUCUCUCAUCAUACUCUUUUUUUUCUUUCUACUUUGAUAUUAAAGAAAGUUGCCAACCCCCAUUAAAAGUAAUUAUUUGUGUAUAAUUUUGUUUAUAGAGUAUUUUAACCACACAACACUAUCAACUUAGAACAAGAUU